GAUGAACGCUGGCGGCGUGCCUAAUACAUGCAAGUCGAGCGAACGGACGAGAAGCUUGCUUUUCUGAUGUUAGCGGCGGACGGGUGAGUAACACGUGGAUAACCUACCUAUAAGACUGGGAUAACUUCGGGAAACCGGAGCUAAUACCGGAUAAUAUUUUGAACCGCAUGGUUCAAAAGUGAAAGACGGUCUUGCUGUCACUUAUAGAUGGAUCCGCGCUGCAUUAGCUAGUUGGUAAGGUAACGGCUUACCAAGGCAACGAUGCAUAGCCGACCUGAGAGGGUGAUCGGCCACACUGGAACUGAGACACGGUCCAGACUCCUACGGGAGGCAGCAGUAGGGAAUCUUCCGCAAAGGGCGAAAGCCUGACGGAGCAACGCCGCGUGAGUGAUGAAGGUCUUCGGAUCGUAAAACUCUGUUAUUAGGGAUGAACAUAUGUGUAAGUAACUGUGCACAUCUUGACGGUACCUAAUCAGAAAGCCACGGCUAACUACGUG
rnacentral:rRNA from 1 species